AGACGUGCAGGAAUCACAAUGACAGAGUGGCUGACCUCACUGAAGUCUUAGAGGGACUUAGUUGGACGUUGAACCAGAGAGAACAGUGUUUGGACCUUUCUGCCACAGGG
rfam:Equus caballus chromosome 3, whole genome shotgun sequence.